rnacentral:rRNA from 1 species
UACGGAAGGUCCGAGCGUUAAUCGGAAUUACUGGGCGUAAAGCGCACGUAGGCGGUUAGAUCAGUUGGGUGUGAAAGCCCCGGGCUCAACCUGGGAACUGCAUCCAAUACUGUCUGACUAGAGUACGAGAGAGGGGGGUAGAAUUUCUAGUGUAGCGGUGAAAUGCGUAGAUAUUAGAAGGAAUACCAGUGGCGAAGGCGGCCCCCUGGCUCGAUACUGACGCUGAGGUGCGAAAGCGCGGGGAGCAAACAGGAUUAGAUACCCUGGUAGUCCACGCCGUAAACGAUGUCUACUAGCCGUUGGGGAACUUGAUUUCUUAGUGGCGCAGCUAACGCAAUAAGUAGACCGCCUGGGGAGUACGGUCGCAAGAUUAAAACUCAAAUGAAUUGACGGGGGCCCGCACAAGCGGUGGAGCAUGUGGUUUAAUUCGAAGCAACGCGAAGAACCUUACCAAGACUUGACAUCCUGAGAACUUAGCAGAAAUGCUUUGGUGCCUUCGGGAACUCAGAGACAGGUGCUGCAUGGCUGUCGUCAGCUCGUGUUGUGAAAUGUUGGGUUAAGUCCCGUAACGAGCGCAACCCUUGUCCUUAGUUGCCAGCGAGUAAUGUCGGGAACUCUAAGGAGACUGCCGGUGACAAACCGGAGGAAGGUGGGGACGACGUCAAGUCAUCAUGGCCCUUACGUCUUGGGCUACACACGUGCUACAAUGGCAGUGACAAUGGGUUAAUCCCAAGAAGCUGUCUCAGUUCGGAUUGUUCUCUGCAACUCGAGAGCAUGAAGUCGGAAUCGCUAGUAAUCGCGUAACAGCAUGACGCGGAGAAUACGUUCCCGGGCCU